rnacentral:rRNA from 1 species
AACGUAGGGGGCGAGCGUUGUCCGGAAUUACUGGGCGUAAAGGGCGUGUAGGCGGCCCGUGAAGUCAGGAGUGAAAACCCGGGGCUCAACUUCGGGAUUGCUUUUGAAACCAGCGGGCUUGAGUGCAGGAGAGGAAAGUGGAAUUCCCAGUGUAGCGGUGAAAUGCGUAGAUAUUGGGAGGAACACCAGUGGCGAAAGCGGCUUUCUGGCCUGUAACUGACGCUGAGGCGCGAAAGCGUGGGGAGCAAACAGGAUUAGAUACCCGGGUAGUCC